rnacentral:rRNA from 1 species
AACGAACGCUGGCGGCAUGCCUAACACAUGCAAGUCGAACGAGACCUUCGGGUCUAGUGGCGCACGGGUGCGUAACGCGUGGGAACCUGCCCGUAGGUUCGGAAUAACUCCCCGAAAGGGGUGCUAAUACCGGAUAAUGUCUUCGGACCAAAGAUUUAUCGCCUUUGGAUGGGCCCGGGUUGGAUUAGCUAGUUGGUAGGGUAAAAGCCUACCAAGGCGACGAUCCAGAGCUGGUGUGAGAGGAUGACCAGCCAGGCUGGGAAUGAGACACGGCCCAGACUCGUACGGGAGGGAGCAGAAGAGUAUACUGGAGACGGGGCGAUAGCGUGAUACAGCCACGCCGGGUAUGUGAGGCAGGGGUUAGGGUUGUAAAUCUCUCUUAGCCGAGGUGAUAAUGACGGUACCGGGUGAAGAAGCUCCGGCUAACUCCGUG